rnacentral:rRNA from 1 species
UACGUAGGCAGCAAGCGUUGUUCGGAGUUACUGGGCGUAAAGGGCGCGUAGGCGGUCCUAUAAGUAUGGUGUGAAAUCUCCCGGCUUAACUGGGAGGGUGCGCUAGAGACUGUGGGACUAGAGUGUGGGAGAGGAAAGUGGAAUUCCUGGUGUAGCGGUGAAAUGCGUAGAUAUCAGGAGGAACACCGGUGGUGUAAACGGCUUUCUGGACCAUAACUGACGCUGAGGCACGAAAGCGUGGGUAGCAAACAGG